rnacentral:rRNA from 1 species
AACGAACGCUGGCGGCAUGCCUAACACAUGCAAGUCGAACGAGACCUUCGGGUCUAGUGGCGCACGGGUGCGUAACGCGUGGGAACCUGCCCUUAGGUUCGGAAUAACUCCCCGAAAGGGGUGCUAAUACCGGAUAAUGUCUUCGGACCAAAGAAUUAUCGCCUUUGGAGGGGCCGGCGUUGGAUUAGCUAGUUGGUAGGGUAAAACCCUACCAAGGCGACGAUCCAUAGCUGGCCGGAGAGGAUGAGCAGCCACACUGGGACGGAGACACGGCCCAGACUCCUACGGGAAGCAGCAGUGGGUAAUAUUGGACAAGGGGCGAAAUCCUGAUCCAGCAAUGCCGCGUGAGUGAUGAAGGCCUUAGUGUUGUAAAGCUCUUUUACCCGGGAAGAUAAUGACAGUACCGGGAGAAUAAGCUCCGGCUAACUCCGUG